rnacentral:lncRNA from 1 species
UGGAGAAUUUACAAUAAUACUCAGUUUUAUUAUUAGAUAACGCAACUAUAAUGCCAUCAUUUUUUUUGUUGGUUUUGACAUCGUUUUAGUAUUGAAUUUAUUCAAGAAUUCAAGAUAUAUUUACCGGAUUAGUUCAAAUAUUGUAUAAGUACUUCACGUAUAUCGCAGUUUUGUUAAAUCAUUUAUGUGUAUGCAUGCAUACAAUCUUACAAUGGACAAGGUGGGUAGUUAUCAAACCUACCGCGUCAAAAUUCGUUACAAAGAACGGAAUAAAAUCUAGGCAAUCAAAAUAAACGAACUAUAAAAAUACAAACUAAAUAGAGAUAAAAGGUAUAAAAAAUCAAUUUAAAUUAAAGGAAUGGUGGGAAGACAUGAAUCACGCGUCGAAGGCACACCUACCCGAAGGGUUUUGGAGAGUAGACAAAGAGACAAACAAAGAUAUGUGAGUUUGGUUGGGUUUUGGGGGGGUUGGUAGUGUAUGAGGUCCAUAUGCCUCGAUCUUUCGCUUCUUUUAAUUACUUUUCUUUAUUACAAAAUCUAUCUAACUAUUCUACUCUAUCGAACCAUGCACAUAUAUAAUUAUAUGUAUAAGCCCAUCAAAGUUUUUGAAUUCAGUGCAAACACUUGUCAAAGGAGUAGUCCCGAUCUGGUUCCAUCUUAUCUUCGUUGUCUGCUCGACCUUGGCUUUGACUUUAACAUCACAUUUAACUUUCUUUUUUUGUUAAUACAUCAGAUGUAACUUCCCUCCACAGAAUUAAAAUUAAAAAAAAAAAAAGUAAAAAAAAAACAUAUCGAUACGGGGAAAAUGGAGAUCAAAUGACCUUAGGAAUUAACGACUCUAAUAAACUGUAUACUUUGUUAUUGCUACUUUUUCAAUCUCAUGAUAUCCAUAUACAAUACCAGCACAGUUAAUCAUGUAUACGUAUAUGUUUAUGCUCAUGGUUUUGCUUAUGUGUUUAUUCAUCAAGCGCAUGCUUAGUUACAUGGAACUCUCUCACGUCAAUAUGUAAUAAUGUAGUCUCUACAUGAAACUAUCCUAUUCGGUGGAAUAUAUAUUUUCCUCCAACCGAAUCAUUCAAAUGAUUUACAGAAGAAGGUUUCCAUAUUUUAGGUCCUUUUAUGUCAUUAAAUUCCAUAGACAAUCAUCUUUCUUAUUGUAAAUCCGCAUGCCUACGAUAAUCUAAGAUUUUAUGCAAAAGAAAGGGAAAUCCGUAUGUAUACGAACGUAAAGACUUAAUCAUCAAAUAGACUAUCGUGUCAGUAUGUAUGUGUGUACUAGUAAUAUCUGGUAUACUAAAUGUUUAAAAAAAAAAAAAAAGCCUCAGAAAUCAAAAGUUUCGAUCAUCUAUCUACCCCAUCAAUCAUAAACCGAUACCAUGUAUGAUGAUCAUAAGAAGGAUAGAUGAAUGAAAUAAACGAUAACGUAUUAGGGUUUUAAGGAGAGAUCGAGACCAAGGUCGAACAGACAACGAAACAAAGAUGAGAACACAUAAGAUUGCUCACUUUGUCAAGCCUAGCAUCGAAUCCAAUCACUCUUCAUCUUCAUCUUCUGAUGUCCACCGUAUAUAACCCAUCCCAAUAUUAUUAUUCUAUUGGUUACCAAAAAGAAAGAGGAUAUUUCUGUGAAGGAGGAACCCUAGCUACUUAUAGAAGAAGAUGUAAAAUAUUAGAGGAGGAGAAUCCACGCAACUAACUAUGAGUUAAUAGAAGAAAGAUUACGACAAAACUUGAUGAAACAUCUGGAGUAGAGAACCUCGCACGUGGCACGCAAUCACUCGAACUCUUUGGUUUAUUGACUCACGGGUGACUUGUACGUGUGCAUGCCUUCGUGCGUGUGGUGUAUAUAUACACACGGACACACACUUUAAACAUAUAUUUACGCAACACACUGUACCGUACCUACCAACGUCUCUCACUGAUUAUGUAAAAAGUAAAGAUUCGGUACCUCCCAAGCAUGUGCGUAGUUAUAACUAGAUUUCCUAUGUUGACAAUUCAUAUUAUACUUAAUACUCUAAAUUCGAAGCCCACUAUAUGAAAUCCGAAAUAACCAAUAAUGUUUCAAAGGAUAUUGAUAUCUAGCUUUUUACUGAUAUAACAAAACUACUGAUGAACAUUAUCAUUGUUUCGUGAAAGUAAAAUAUUUCGUGUAUGUUUUUACAAAAUCUUGUUACCUGAUUUUGUGUGGUAGACUAUUAUUAUUUCCUUAUGAGAAGCACUAGCAGUGUACCAUAUUUUAGCUUUAUUUGGAAUGUUACUGUUGUGCCGUUAGUGAUAGUACAAUGAUGAACUUCAAUAAUUCUGAGAUGAGUUAAUUCAUGCGCUUCCGUAAUCCUUUUUCUUCGGUAUGUUGUCUGUGUUUUGUUUUAUCUACGUGUGUGUGUUUGUUUUUUAUACUAAUUUAUUCGAUAGAUAGUGUUAGUAUAACGAACAUAAAUUAGGUUUAGUUAACGAAAAAUACAAUAUCCUAUACACAAAAAAAAGGAUGAGAAACUGCUCACAGGUUCGGUUACUAUUAACUCAUGCUGAUUCCGAUUCAUAAAAAUUAGAAGUACUAAUUAAGCAAUGUAAAAAAAAAAAAAUUACAAGUACUAAUUAAUUAAACCCAUCCGCAGUUUCCCACCAAACCUUGUUGUUGAAGACUCCAAGUUUUCCCCACCUACCAAUUGCGCAAACUUCCAUAAAUUUUCCACGUCAUAUUGAAACCCAACCUAUAUUUUUGGUUUUUUUUUGUUCUCUUUCUCGUCGUACUUAAUUGUAUUAAUUCUACUAAAAAUAUUUUGGUAUUCAUUAUUCAAUGAGUUUUAAUCUUUUCAACAUCUGUUAUUUAUCACAUUUAUUACAAUGGACAGUAAAUUUUGAAUUCGAAUUCAUGUUAACUAUCAACACGGGUCACUAUACAAUACUGUAUUAUCAACAAUGCUAUGCUUGUUUAUCUUUUUUAGUAAAAAAGAAAGAAAAAAAUGAAAAAGGUUGAAUCAAAAGGCAGAUUAAAAAUAUGAUUCAAUACAUUACCUCUAUGUUGAAAAUUUCUUUGAUAAAUUUUAUUACUUCUUAAUUGGUUUAUAUUCUUUUUGAUCAAGUGUCCCAAAGGCCAAAACAAGCUGAAUUGGACCUACAGGAAUAAUGUUUAUAACUAUUGGGCCUUACAUCUAAUGGGCCAAAACCAACCCAAUAUCAAUAUGUGUAUUAUCAUUCAUUUUAUACUUGGGCCUUAAAAUUUUUAUUCUCUUACAUUCAUUUUUAUGUUUCGAUCAAAUAAGAGAGUAGGUAGAAAACUUAGUGAGACCAACAAAUUUUAACAGCUUUUAGGUCAUUCAAUAGAUCAAAGAAUUAAUGUGUUGUUCGAUCUGACUUCAUAGUUUAACUGAAAAUGAAGUGUUGGGUCAAAAUAUCAACUCGUCGUGUUGGACCGUCUGUUUUUUUUGUAGAACAUAGCAACAGCUUUAAUUGACUUGACAAUAAAUAUUGAGUGCCAUAGAAGAAAACUAUAUCAGUUGCUUAGAAAAUUGUCCCAUUUUCAUUUUCAUUUUCCAUUUAUCAUAAAUGAUAAGUGUGUGCUUUCGUAACUACAUAGUCUUACUUAUAAAUAAAUUUCUUUGACAAAAAAAAAAAAAAACUUAUAAAUAAAUUUAAUGAAAUGUCAACAUUUGGGAUUAUAUGGAUUACAGGAUUAGGCGUUGGGCCUCUAGCAACGUCCUACGUGUACUGUUUUGUCAAUCGAUGUAUUUGAAAUUACUUUUUUCCUCCCUCGUUAGGUCAAUUCCAAUUCUGUUUGUUCUAUUUUUCUUGCCGUUUCUAAUCAUACAAUAAAAGCUUUAAGCCCAGUGUUCACUUUAACCAGUCAUUUUGUGGUUACAUUAUCUUUUACUUUUCUUUUUUCAUAAAAAUCUCUUUUAUAAAGUUUAAAUUUUAUGAAACUUUAUGAAAUAGAGACUCGUUAAAUUUAAAAUGUAUAAACGUACGCAUUCAUACAAUAAAAGCAUGCAUUGGGUGAAAUUUGGUGUGAACUUAUAAUUAUCCCAUUCUUUACAUUCACGUCUGUUAAAAUGCGUGACACGAUCCAAUACCCCAUACCAUUUUGUUCCCAUCCUUUUUUUAUUAUAUGAUUUUUUAAAAUUCAGAUUUCUUUUUUUUUCUUUUUCUUUGUCAACAUUCAUUCUGCAUUUAUCGGAACGGACGAAGCUGGGAAUUAUAUCAGAACAAUUUGGAAUACUUUAUGGUUAGAGUUGCUGCUAUAUAUUAAAAUGAUACCAUGUAUGAUGUAACAUAUCUAUCCAUAUUAACUAAGAAUAUAUUAGAAAUGGAUGUCAACAAAGUGACGCGAUUCCACGUAGAGCUUGUCGAUUUGUCAAAUCUUAUUAUUUAGGUAAUUACCAGUAUUUAUAUUCAUAAGAAGCUUGUAGUUUUAUGACCGUUCGAAUUUAUAUUUAUUUUCUUUCUAAAGUUCCUUCACUAGUAUCUUUUUUGGUUUCUUAUGUAUUUGAUGAAAUACCAUAUAGAUUUCAUAAUUAGUGCACAUGAAAAAAAAGAGAGAAGAAUCUCCCAUUUAAAGAAAAUAAAGGAAAAAGAGAAAUGGACGGUGAGAUACAUGAAUCAUUGUUAAAUGGACUAAAACAAGCACAUAAACUGUGGGCAAUGACAUAAAAUCAUAAAUAUUCAACAUAUGCAAGUUCAUGAUUAGUAGGAAGGAAAUUAGGUAUAAAUGACGAGAAAGUUUUCUCGUCAAAACUGAACACAAAUAGAUUCUUUAAUGUUUUAUAUGUGGAGAUGAUUUUGAGACUACACAACAACAAUUGUGUAACUAACGGUCAUGGUUUAUAAUGAAGUUAUAGUAUAUAGAUUUUGAUAUAUUGUAAAAUUAAAUAUACUCAAAUAUACCUUGGUGUACAUUGUAUUUGGGGUAAGAUAAAAAAUGUAAUAGAUUUUGUCCGGCCGGUUCUCUCUCGUGCACGGCAAGAACUAAACCAAGGCGUACCAAAGAUUCGGAGUUUCACAUCAAUCCAUCCACUAGUUGCUAAUAAAUAAGAUUAGUGCUAAAAAAAAAAGAAAAAAAAGAUUAGUGCUAAGAAAAGAAAUGGUUCUGAUUAGGAAAAUAUCACAAUGGCAGCCCAUUAAAACUGGCAAUUUUUCUCCCUCCUCUCUCUUUUUUUUUUUUUUUCUUCUAAAUAAAAGACAUGUCUUUGAAAUUUUGUGAACUUCUCAAUUAGGUUUGCAUUUUAAAUAUAUAUAUAUAUAUAUAUAUAUGUACAUUCCAUUAAAGAUUUCGAUCUCAUGUUCAGUUUCUAAAUUAGCUAAUUAGGCUUUCGAUAGAAUGUAAACAUAGUUUUGCCCUUUCAGAAUGCAAUAAGAGUAAACCACCUCCCAUAGACAAGAUCAAAUAAACCAUAUUAUUGUUAACAUGUGCAUCACCUUGUUUUGCAUGUAAGCAAUUUGGUUUGUACAUGAUGAUGCACAGUUUAUAAAUAAAUAGUACUACAUAGUACAAAAUUAAAAUCAAUAAUCAAUAAUCAAAUACUUAAUUAGUGAUUCCGUAAAGAUAAUUGGAUGAAUGGAGAGUUGGAGAGGUAACCACAAGGUGGGUCCAUUUGCACCCUGAAUUUGACGCAGACUUUUAUCAAAUAUCACGAUUAGCCAUCAAUUUUAGAGGUCCAUUUCCGACAUUAACUUCUAAACUACGGUCAAACCGAAAGUGUAAAACAAUAAUAAUUAAUACUUUUGUUGUGCAAACAAUUACAUAGAUAUUUUAACUAAGUAAAUACCAGAAUUGGCUCUCUUUUUAGCGGUCUGUCUACAUAAUAACUACAAAAUAUUUUAGCUCUUCAUCAUAUUAUAAAUUUGUUAUCCAUUAUAAGUCAACGUAAUAUUUUGAACACAAUAAACAGUUUUAUAGACCAUUUUAUAACUAAUAAUCAUACUUGUACAACUGUACCACAAAAACUAUGUUAUAGGAAUUUAUAUAUGUAUAUAUGUAUAACAUUUGCGAUAUACAUAUUUAAUAUUAAUAUAUAUGAACACAACAAAUGAUUUUAUAUGUAUCACGCUAAAAUUUUAUUUAUUUUGCCUUCACUAAUCUGCAUUAUUUUUACUGAUCAAAUCUUAUACCAAAUAGAAAAACACUAAACUCUUGAUCAUCCACGAUGGACCAAAGAAAGUUCGACGCCAUACCUAGCAGAUUCGAGCCACAUAUAUUUUUAACCAUUUUAACGAUAUUUUAUAAGAAGCUGACUAGAUUUUAUUAUUAUUUUCUAUGUGCGAACAAGAUAAGAUUAUUAUAAAUAUAAAAGGUAUACAAAAAUCAUGAUCAUAUUAAUAUAUAGGUUGAUAUUGAUUGGAGAAAUAGUGAAUUCUUUGGUUUCCUAACCACUCAUCUGCAAAAUGUUUUUUGUAUUCGAUACAUAACCACAUACAAAUCUAGUGCUAACACUUGAGUAGAAUAUGGUCUUACCCAUAUAAUUGUUUUGGCCAUUAUAGAUUCAUCUGCUUUGUUGGGUCUGCUGGAUUGGUCGUGUUUGCUGGGCAGGCUAGGUUUCGUUCCAAUUGCUGGUCAAUCGGAUGGUAGUUUGUUGCUCGUCAUCUACUAGCCUUCUUUUGUGGCUCUUUUGAGUUGUGAUAUAGGUUCUAGGCAAGCAGUGGAUUCGACUUUCAUCUUUUCUCUUGCGAGGAGGUUACCAGUUUUAUGUCUGUAGAUGGCUGAAGAUGGGUCGACGAGGGUCCGUGUGUAAGAGGUGUUUGUCUUCCUUGGCUUGUCUCUGGUCGAAUCUCAAGGUUUUUUUCCUUGUGCUUAGUUUUUGCUCGCUUUCCUCGGCUGUUCUCUGUAUGUCCUGAUAUUGGUGGCUUCUGUUUCUAUGUUAUCGUUUGAGUCCUGCUUUCGCUCCUGUCGGUCUUGAUGAAGGGUUGUCUACGGUGGGCUAUCUAAGUAUAUACCCCUUCCGGUCUAUUGGGUUCUCUCCAGCGUUUACCUGUGCUAUGGGAAGCUUUGUGGGUUUCACUCCGUUUCAGUGGGCAGUUUUUUGUGCUUUGGGUUUUGCUCGCUUCUCAAGUGAAUUGAUUCCUUAGGUUUUUGUCUUUUCUUUAUCAUGAUGUUUAAUCCUCGUAUCUGGAGGUUUGCUACCUGCCAGCUUUGGUUUCCCUUUUUUGGGCUUUAGCUUCCGGAGAUUUCUCCUUUUUCUUCCGGCAUUAAUUUUUAUCAAGGUUGUGUUAUGUUGUAUUGAAGAACUCUUUAUCAUUCUAAUAUAUAUUUCCCAGACGGAAAAAAAAAAUUCAUACUCUCUAGAAUCUGUCCAAAUGACUAAGAGUUAAAAACUAAAAAAUAAUGGUAAGUAAUUUAUCUAAAUCAAAAUAUCCGUGACGGUACAACAUUUGUCUAAACUAAACUAUAUUUGGUUAAACCUUAUUCACCAAUAUUUGAAAAUAAUAUUUAACCCCAACCAAUAUUAUAUCCAACGAUCCAAUUUCUAUCUAUCUAUUAAAAAAAAAAAAUUGUCCUAAAAACUAUGUGAACUCAGAGCAUACAUGUAAUAGUACAAGCAUAAGACCAGUGCAAAAAUCACAACCAUCUCAGCGAUUAUUAAGUUUAAUGACCUUAUCUAGUCGGCCAUAUAAAGUUCAAGCCAAUAAUCAUUCUUAUAUAAAGGUUCAGAAAAGUUUUAAGUAGAGAAAUAAAAAAAAAAGAUCCGAAAACUAAAACGUGAUGGUGUCUUCUCACCAACCUUAUAAAAUAUGUUUUGAUAAACAAUUCAAAACAGUAUCGCUCUAGUGUUUUAGAAAUUAUAAAGAAAUUUCUAUCAAGUUUGUAGAUUUUGAAUUUGAUGAAUAGGAAAAAAAGGGUUGAUAUUUAAAUUAGGUUACUUAAGACUUCAAAGGAGGCCUAAUUAAAGUGAUAAACGGAUAUGUUAGAGAGAUUAAUCAGCUUGACCCACCUAAAAGCUCUAACCCAAACGGAUGGUUCUACUUUACUCGUAUUGCCUUUUUGUCAACGGUCCGUGUUUUACACGUUCACGACACAAGCGCGUGAGUCGUGACAUUUUUUUGUCUUCCAUUUUUUGCUUUCAUAUUUUCAUUUUCUUUUUUUUGCGCCAGUUUUCAUUUAUUUUCUUAUACUAAAAAAUUGUAUUAAUUUAAUGGAUAGAUUUUAUUUAUUUAUUUUCUAUGCCUUCAACAGAGAGAAUUAAAUCCAUACCUAAAUAGUAAAUACGCACUCCAUUUUUAGAAAACAAAUACACCUUCCCGUAUUAACCCCCACCACCACUAACGGACAACUGUUUAUAAGUUGUUAACUAAUUCAUUAGUCAAGUUUAUACAUAAAUAAUCAAACGCUGCUAAUUAGCCUAUCAAUGGAGUAUUAACACAUAACCUAGUCAAAAUUAUUUACUCUGAUUAUAAUUCACAUCUUCAUAUACAAGCUAUUACUAAUUACAGCGAAAACAAUUAUAUAAUUAGAUUAUCGUUAUCUUCUCAUUCUCCAAUUAUAUGUGUAUGUUUGCUCAAAAGCCUCCGGUAAUUCCAUUCUCAUAAUUUCUGAUAUUUUUUUUCAUUUACAGUAGAUAAAUUUCUAUCUACAUAAAUAGUAAAAGAAUUAUGAAGAGAUUUGACUAAUUAAUGUAUUCCAUUAAAUAUCAGAUUCACAUGUUUGUUGUGGAAAAAUAAAGUUUUAGGAAUAUUAUGAGAUCUUCUCUAUUUAAUAAUAUACUCAUUAAAAACCAUUAAAUAGGUUAUGUCUACUGUUGGAAAAGAAUUAAAACACACAAAAAAAAGAGAUUUUGGAUAUAAUUAUUAAAAGAGUUCAACCAAAAAAGGUUUUUAUAUAAAGAAAAAAAAAAGACAAAGAAAGAAAAACGCCGUUGAUGACCAAUUGAAAACGGAAGCUUGAAGAUGGAGUCACUAUCCUGUCAAAUAAAAAGACUUUGAAGGUCUUUGUCAUGUUUCUUUUCUUAAAAAAUAUUAAGGAAAACAAAAAUUAUCUAUCAAAACUAUAUACUUAAAUUUUUAAAAAUCAGAUUUUUUUUUUAAAAACCCUAGUUGAAUUAUAAAAUAAAGAAAAAAAGAGGCAAGGUAAAGGGAACAGAGGAGAGAGAAAAAGGUGUGAACAGUUAAUGGCGGAGCAGUAUAAGGAAUCGCUUCUCUCUAGAAAUCUUUUGCCAUAGCUGGAUUUUGGUUUGAUCUAUCUCUCUCUCUCUGUCUUGUAAUAACAAAGCUUAGAAAAAUUCUAUUACAGAACAAGAAGAAGGAAGAAGAAGAAGAAGCAAUAAAAAAUAUUCCCUUUAGUGAGAGAAAGCUCUCCUCAAGAAGUGAUAUCGAGAUGCGAGCUAGUAAAGGAACCUUCUCUGUACUUCUUCUCUUUCUCCUUUUGAUUCUCAUUUUGCCCAGUCUUUAAUUUUUUUCCUUUUUUUCUUCUUUCUCUCUCUAUUUCUUCUUUCUUGUUCUUCAAUUUCACUCUUAAAGCUUUGGUCGAGGUUAAAGUCAAGAAUCGUCCAAAGUCUUCUUCUUUUUCUUCCUUCAUAUUCUGAUAAAGUUUUCUUGGGUUGUGUUGGUAUUUGAUCUGUUUCUUGGUUCUUUUAAAGAUUGUGAUUUGGGUGGGGGGUUUUUUGAUCUAGGGUUUCUAGAUAGACAUUUGGAUUUGAUGUAGGACUUUGUUUCUGCUCUAAACUUAAAAAAAAAAGAAAAAGAAACUGUUUCUUCUCAUCUUAAAUCUAACCACCAUUUUUGUUGUGGGAGGUUUUUUUUUUUUUUUUAAUAUACAAAAAUCAAAGUCAGAGAUUGAGUUUGUUUUUAUUUUCAUUCAAAAUCUGGGGACAAAAAUAACAGAGAGAAGGAGGAGGAGAAUUAGAGAUUUGUUUUUAAGUAAAUAUUUUGAUUGUUUAUGGGAAUACCUGAUGGUUCACUGCUAGAUCUAAUUGUUAAGGUUAGGUCUUGGAUAACUUUGGAUUCAAGUGAUUCUUUGUGCUUGUCUUCAUCUAAACAAGACUUUGAAAUUAUGCCAAUCGUUUCCAAAAUGUGUCAUGACUGUGGAACCAAGGUGGAACAAGGUUAUUGUUGUCUUAGUUGUGGUUCUUGUUGGUGCAAGAGUUGUUCUGAUAGUACAGAAGAGAGCAAGAUGAAGUUGUGCAGAGAAUGUGAUGGAGAGGUUCGUGAGUUAAGGGGUAAGAGCUAUGAUAAGGUUCAUCCCCGGGAUAGUCCUGAUCCGCCUUCUUCUCUUGUUACCGAAACCGAGAGUCUUGCUUCGAGUCUUGAAAUCCGUGAUUGUAGGAACAUGGCUUCUAUUCGUUGCUAUCCUAGCAGGUAUUCUGCGAUAAAGUUUCGAUUUUUACAUUCAUUUAUGAGUAAAGUUACAAUUUUUGUGAUCAAUUAGGAGUCUUUAAACAUGUUGGAGUAAGUGUAUGUUUUGUGUGUGUUUGCAGGGGAGAGGAAGAAGAGGCUAGAUAUUGUGGUAAACAGUUGUUAAGCCCUUCAAGUGAAUACUAUCAGGACAGUUCAGAUAUAGAGUCGGGUAGUGUUAGUGCUAGACAUGAGCUUUUUAGUUGUAAAUCUUCUGCUGGGUCCAGUCCUCACGACAGUCCAUUAAGGAACAAUUUUAGUCCUCUUGGGCGCUUUGUACAGCACGCGAAAGACCUAAGAAGCCCUACUGUUUGUUCUUUUGAUAAUCAUCAAGAACAACUCAUGGCUGGUAAUUUAGUUAAGCUACGUCAGGGGGUAUUGGAACAGGAAGAUCACGAGGAGGAAGAGGAUAAGUUGCAACCGCCGUUGGAUUUUGAGAACAACGGCCGCAUCUGGUAUCCUCCACCACCGGAAGACGAGAAUGAUGAUGCUGAGAGUAAUUACUUUCAAUAUGAUGACGAAGAUGAUGAGAUUGGGGACUCUGCUACCGAGUUUUCAUUGAGUAGUAGCUUUUCUAGCCACGUUCCUACAAGAGAGAAACUGGGAGAAAAUAGCAAUGAACCUCUUCGAACCGUGGUGCAUGACCACUUCCGAGCUCUUGUUGCAGAGCUAUUGCGUGGGGAGGAGCUUAGUCCAUCUGAUGAUGGCAGUGCUGGGGAAUGGCUGGAUAUUGUCACUGCUUUAGCGUGGCAGGCUGCAAAUUUUGUAAAGCCGGAUACUCGUGCAGGCGGCAGUAUGGAUCCCGGGAAUUAUGUGAAAAUAAAAUGUGUAGCAUCGGGAAAUCAAAAUGAGAGGUAUAAUUAUCUGUUGGAACCUUUUCUUUUCAAACUUUUGCCACUAUUCGUUGCAUUAGUAAUUUAGUAUUGUCCUCUGGCUGAUGAUUAUUAAUUGAAUACCUUGUUUCUGCAGCAUUCUCAUCAGGGGAAUAGUGUGUAGCAAGAACAUUACGCACAAGCGAAUGACAUCACAGUACAAAAAUCCAAGGGUGCUGCUUUUAGCUGGGUCUCUUGAGUAUCAGAGAGUUGCAGGCCAAUUAGCAUCCUUUAACACGUUGCUUCAACAGGUUGGUGUGUUACUGUUUCUAUAUGAUGGCUGCAUAAUAUCCUCUUGAUUAACAAGCUGAACAAAACUGAAUUAUGUGUGUUGGACAGGAAAAUGAACAUAUGAAGGCGAUAAUUGCAAAAAUAGAGUCCCUUCGUCCUAAUGUUCUUCUGGUAGAGAAAAGUGCAUCUUCAUAUGCCCAACAAUACCUUCUAGAGAAGGAAAUUUCGUUGGUGCUCAAUGUGAAAAAGUCAUUGCUGGACCGUAUAGCCCGUUGCACCGGUGCUGUUCUUUGCCCCUCACUAGAUAGUAUUACUACUGCUCGAUUGGGUCACUGUGAGCUGUUCCGGACUGAGAAAGUGUUGGAGCAACAUGAAGCUGGCAAUCAGUCAAACAGAAAACCAUCAAGGACAUUGAUGUACUUUGAAGGGUGUCCUAGGCGCCUAGGUUGCACGGUAUGCUCAUUUAUUGCUUUCACGGGUUUUUUUACUCAUAAAGCUUGAACCUAUGUAGCUAAGAAGUCUGCUACCUUAAGUUUACUAUCUUCCUUCCGGAGUGUACUUGUUAUUUGUAUAAACUGUUCACCAGUUCUUCAUUCUCAGUUUGAUUAGACUUUUCUGAAACUUGUGCAGGUUGUGCUUCGGGGAAGUUGUCGCGAGGAGCUAAAGAAGGUUAAACACGUUAUUCAGUACGCUGUAUUUGCAGCUUAUCACUUAUCACUGGAGACUUCAUUCCUUGCGGAUGAAGGUGCUUCUCUGCCUAAAAUUAGACUGAAACAACCGGGAAUGGUGCGGACAGCAUCACAAAGGAGGAUCAUUGAUGAAGGCAUUUCCUUAAUAACUCAAUCUCCUACAGAAACAGAUAGUCAAGCUUUGAUUGAAACAGCUGCACAUGAAGAUGAAAAUACGGCCCUGCUGCCUGAACUUGAGGUUUGUGAAUCAUUGUGUGAGGAUUUUGAUCCUAGUCAAAUAUUCCCACCAUCUUCUGGCGUAAUUGCUUCUGAAGUUGAGACUGAACAAUCUGAUGCCCUGAAUGGAGAUUUUGCCAGUAAUUUGGUGACAAGAUCAUAUUCUUCGAAUCAGUUAAAUGAUUUGCAUGAACCCACUUUGUGCUUAAGUAGUGAAAUCCCUGAAACGCCGACUCAACAGCUGAGUGGUGAAGAAGAGAACGGCAGAGGUGAAGAAGAGAACCAAUUAGUGAACACUCAAGAUUUACCACAAAAUGAGAGCCUCUAUGAAGAUGAUGUUUCCAGCGAGUAUUUCUCUGCUGCGGACUCUCAUCAGAGCAUAUUGGUCUCAUUUUCAAGCCGUUGUGUAUUGAAAGAAUCAGUAUGUGAACGCUCACGACUCUUGCGGAUUAAGUUCUAUGGAUCAUUUGAUAAACCUCUCGGGAGAUAUUUGAAAGAUGAUCUAUUCGAUAAGGUAGCUCUUUCAUCUAAAAUGUGAAUCCAUUUUUUUGUCUUCUACAAAUUCCAUGAAAUAAGCAAUCUAAUAUAUAUCCUAUUCCCUGGACAGACUUCUAGUUGUAGAUCUUGCAAGGAGCUGGUGGAUGCGCAUGUGCUCUGCUAUUCUCAUCAGAAUGGAAACCUUACUAUCAAUGUUAGACGUCUCCCUUCCAUGAAGCUUCCUGGUGAACAAGAUGGGAAGAUAUGGAUGUGGCAUCGCUGCUUAAGAUGUGCACAUGUAGAUGGAGUCCCACCUGCUACUCGUAGAGUAGUUAUGUCUGAUGCAGCAUGGGGACUGUCUUUUGGAAAGUUUUUGGAACUUAGCUUUUCGAAUCAUGCAACUGCGAAUCGAGUUGCAUCUUGUGGUCAUUCGCUUCAAAGAGACUGCCUUCGAUUCUAUGGGUAACCACGCUGUAUAAUCUCAUUCUCUAAGGUUAUCUCAAUGUUGUUAAAGCACUAUUAACAUUAUUGUUUUGCAGAUUUGGUAACAUGGUUGCGUUCUUUAGAUAUUCUCCCAUCAAUAUACUUACGGUCCUCCUCCCCCCGUCGAUGCUUGAGUUCAACAGCCAUCCUCAACAGGAGUGGAUACGGACAGAGGCAGCUGAGGUAGAUUUUAAGAAAAAGUUUAAGGCUCUUUUGCUUCAGGUUUUGGAUAUGCAAAUGCUAUACCCUCAUAUACUUCUCUGUUUGUGCAUUUUACAGCUUGCUGGUAAAAUGCGGACUAUGUAUGCGGAGAUAUCUGGUAUGCUGAACCGCAUGGAAGAAAAAAGCAGUUUGCUGGAACCUGAACAAUCUGAAGCAUGUGAUCUACAGAGUCGCGUCAUCGGAUUAAAAGAUCAACUCGUGAAAGAAAAAGAUGAAUACGACGUGAGCUUCUGGUUCUUUUGCUUAUGCUUCUUCUGUUUCCCUUUUUUAAAGACUUCUUGUGCUUCUGAAAUCUUGAAUUUGAUGGAAUCUUCCUCAUCAUGAAUAGGAUGCGCUGCAACCUAUUUUUGAGGAGAAUCUGCAAAUUCAGGGAAGUUUGGAUAUCCUAGAGCUGAAUCGAUUGAGACGGGCACUCAUGAUUGGUGCUCAUGCUUGGGAUCAUCAGCUUUACUUGCUAAAUUCUCAACUCAAGAAAGCAUCAGUUUUUAAAACUGGUGAUGACAAUGCUUCUCGGAAUCCAGAGAUGCAGGAUCCUCCAAAGAUUGACCGUAAAAUGCAGGAGGGUUCAGAUGAGAGGGAAGAACAAGCCCAUACUGAUUCAGAAGCUAAUGGUGAUAACAAAGAUCCGGAAAGCAUGCCCUCCCCUGGCACUUCUCUGUCUGAGAGGAUAGAUUCGGCGUGGUUGGGCUCGUUUCAAAAUCUAGAGAAAGCCGAGACAAUUGCUGAGACAGAAGGCUUUUCAGCUGUUAAUUCUCCUCUCCGGAGACUUGCCAGGCCAAUCCGAGUCCAGUCUUUUGAUUCAGCGAUACGAUUUCAAGAACGGAUCCGAAAAGGUUGGCCACCAUCUUCUUUGUAUCUCUCGACCCUCAGAUCUUUCCACGCUUCUGGUGAGUAUAGGAAUAUGGUGAGGGACCCUGUUUCAAAUGUGAUGAGGACUUACUCACAGAUGUUGCCACUGGAAGUACAGAAAUUGGAUCUGAUUGUUGGUUCAACGCCUACUUACAUCUCUUCAGCAUCUCAAAUGGCUGAUGGGGCGCGGAUGCUGAUUCCUCAACGAGGCCUCAACGAUAUCGUGGUUCCUGUAUAUGAUGAUGAUCCGGCAAGUGUUGUAUCAUAUGCUAUCAAUUCAAAGGAAUAUAAGGAGUGGAUCGUUAACAAAGGUCUCGCUUCUAGUAGUAGUAGCAGCAACUUGAAUAACAAAGAGUCCGAACCUUCCACCUUCUCGACUUGGCGUUCUCUGUCGAUGGAUGUUGAUUACAUUCAACACGCGGUGUAUGGGUCUUCUCAAGACGAUAGAAAGUCUCCGCAUUUGACCAUUUCUUUCAGCGACCGCGCUUCUUCUUCCUCUACUGCAACUGAAGGUAAAGUGAAGUUCUCUGUGACGUGUUAUUUUGCAACGCAGUUUGACACUCUAAGAAAGACAUGCUGUCCGAGUGAAGUGGACUUUGUGAGAUCCUUGAGCCGGUGUCAGAGAUGGUCUGCACAGGGAGGGAAAAGCAAUGUUUACUUUGCCAAGUCAUUGGACGAGAGGUUCAUCAUAAAACAAGUCGUCAAAACCGAGCUGGAUUCUUUCGAGGAUUUUGCACCUGAAUACUUCAAAUAUUUGAAGGAAUCACUCAGUUCCGGGAGCCCCACUUGUCUUGCUAAGAUUCUCGGUAUCUACCAGGUUAGUGACAGUAUAAGAACUGUAAACUUGUAGGACUUUGAAAUGGAAUAAUUAAGCAUGCAAACGAUUGAUUGGAAUGCUAUGGCUUGCAGGUAUCAAUUAAACAUCCGAAAGGUGGAAAAGAGACAAAGAUGGAUUUGAUGGUGAUGGAGAAUCUCUUCUACAACAGAAGAAUAUCGAGGAUCUAUGAUCUCAAAGGAUCUGCACGGUCACGGUACAAUCCAAACACAUCCGGAACAGACAAAGUUUUGUUAGACAUGAAUCUGCUUGAGACACUGCGCACAGAACCGAUAUUCCUAGGAAGCAAGGCCAAGCGAAGCCUGGAAAGAGCUAUAUGGAACGACACCAACUUCUUGGCUGUAAGUAAUCUCAUAACUUUUUUGUUCUUAAACGUUUUGGUUAAUCUGUUUGGCUCAUUAUCUCUCUCCCUUGUUAGUCUGUGGAUGUGAUGGACUAUUCAUUGCUGGUUGGGUUCGACGAAGAGCGUAAAGAACUGGUUCUUGGGAUCAUCGACUUCAUGAGACAGUACACAUGGGACAAGCACCUUGAGACUUGGGUCAAAGCUUCAGGCAUUUUGGGUGGACCCAAGAAUGCUUCUCCAACCAUAGUCUCACCAAAACAGUACAAGAGGAGGUUUAGAAAGGCCAUGACCACUUAUUUUCUCACUGUUCCUGAGCCAUGGACCUCUUGAGUGAUAAAAGAAACCAUUUUUCAUCAUUCUUUUGUUUACUGAUUCCAAUUUGUUCUUCUCAAAAUAAAAAGGGAAAUUGGUUAACAGACACGUAAUAUACAGGUUCGAACCUGACUGAUUGAUUUAUCUUUUUUUUUUUUUUUUUGGUGUGUUGGUUUCUCUGAGUUCUAGAGAAUUGUAUAUUGUAAUUAUCGGCCAAACUAAAGCCCCCCAAAUUGAAAGAAAAAAGAUACUAAUGAUUUGCCUUUUGCUUAUAUCUCUUCUCUUUUGUCUUAAUAUCUGUAAUUCAUCCUUAUUUUCAGAUUUUUGACAUAGAAACUGAUUGUGUUGCAGUGUCAUGUAACAGAACCACAGACAUGAUAAGUGGAUAAGAAACAUUAUAAGCUUUGUAUCUCUCUUAAGAAUUGUGUUUUGUAACUAAACUAAAAAUAAGAAUAAAAUAGAGGAAAACAAAUUAGAAAUCACAGGUCUUCUGCUUUGCUCUUUUCAAGAAUUCCAACCUCUUCUGCAACCAAAAUGAUCAAAGAAGAUUUUCUUCAAAAAUUAUCUGAAUGACACAACUUAUUCUACCACUUGUUGUUAGUAUGUAUAUAUUUUUCUUAAUUUUGAAUAGACUAGAAGAUGUAAGUUGUGACAUAAGUUGGAGCACAUUUGUUUCCUAGUGUAAUUAAAGAAGCAAGAAACAUGGCAUGAGAAACGGAUCGAUGUUUCAACAAAAAUAAAAUAAGAUCAAAGCCCUUAAAAAAUAUUGACCACCUCAUGUGAUUUUGGCACCUUCUUCUUUUUCUUCAAUCCCAAAGUUUCUUCCUCCAUUACGAAGCAAAUGUUGUUGUCUUUGAUGAAUCAAACCACUUGGUAUGUGAAGGAGACAAAGUUGUGUGAUCUUGUUGGAGAAAUCAGAGCCACUCUCACUCUCUUUCCUCAGUUUCUCAAUUUUCCACUUUGGUAACUUCAACUUCACGCUACUCACUUCUCUCUCUUCAUCAUCAACCUCCUCUGUCUUCUUCUUCAUUACCGAGAGAUCAGAUGAUGAUCUACGAGACAGCUUCAGAUUUUCUAGUCUCUCCUUGGCACUCAUCUGGAUUCCCGACCGAACCCUUCUUGGGGUUCUCUCUUUCCAUGUUCUGCCACACGGGUUUCGAAAGAUUACUCAAAAAGAUUCUAACUUUGGAAGAAUAAGAAUAAUAAUAAUACCUUGGAAGUUCCACCAUGAAGUAAAGCCUUUUGGAUUCCAAGUUUUGGUGUGGCUCUAAGGGCUUUGCUCUGAUCCCAAAUCGCUUCACUGCUUCGGAUUCCAAGAGAAUAUGGCCCGGAAAAUCUUUAACCACUGUACCAGCUUUCACCGGCGUUUUCAGCUUGAAACUCUCGCCAUUGAUGUUCAUGAUUUUCGCAGUUUUCUUGCUUACCAAGCUAUUACCCAUUUUGGUGAAUGAUGUUUUGUAAAACGUUGGUAUCUUUUAAGUUCACAAAUGAGAUGAAAUUUUUUUGGUGGGUGGGUGCCUAUUAAGAGCUCAGUAGUUCAAGGUGGGUGCUGUGUUAGAUCAGAUCAUUAUAGAUUUUGGAUUUGAUUUAUAGUUGGUUGCUGAUGAUAGUGAACCAUUUCUUGGUCAACAAAAUGCCAAAUCUUGAAAAAUAUUUAAACAAUGAGAAGACAAAAGUUACGUCGCAUCUCACUAUCAAUCUUGAAAAGACCAAUAACAACCCAAAACUUAUGGUUAAUUUUAUAAAUUGAAAUGGAAAAUGUGUACUGUUCUUCACUUAGACCAUUGUAUAAUUUGGAAGUUUUGUGACCAAUGUUUUCUGAGAAAAUGACACUUGCGUUAAUCACUCCGAUUAAUGUGGAAAAUUACGUUGUCCUUUUUUUCCCAAAGGGCACGUGAAGAGAUUGACUUCUAACGAAUUUGAAAUCAAAAGCUAAUUUGAUUUCUCUUUCUAGGAACAGUAACAAACGACCUUUAUCAAUCAUAUGAUAUGUUGGAAGUAACAAAUCAAUACAAAGGUGAGUCAAAAAAGAGUUCGAUUCUCGUUAACUCUUUUGACUCCACCACUUUCUCAAAUGGAAAUUAAUUAGUCAUCCAAAAACUCAAAAAUAAAACAGGACAAAAUAAACAGAUCAAUAGCCAGCAAAACUAAAUUAAUUCUUGUUAAGGGCUAUUUAGAGUGAACCUAAUUUUCGGGAUGAUUUACGGAGAAGCUCUAGCAAAGAAUUAGCUUUUCGUUUAGCUCUCUCUGUACCAUCUCUUGAUAGUUCCAUCAAUGGAACAACAGCUCCAAGUCUACCAAUGGAGAUUAGUUUUUCAGUAUCUCUCUUGCAAAGAGAUAGUAGUAUCGCAGCUGCGUUCUCUCGGUUUCGCGGUUGAUCCUUCUGGAGACAAUCUAUCAAAGGUGGUAUAGCUUUGGCUCUCAAAAUCGCAGUUUUCGCGACUUGGUUACUAGCUAGAACCGAGAGUAUGGUCAAGGCUUCAUCGGCCAUCCUGUCGCUCGAGGAGUCAGUCAGCAUUUUCACCAAUGGGUGUACUAUACCGGCUCUAACCGCUCUGCCUUUGUUUCCCUGAUAAAUACACAAGUUGAACAGAGCCGUAGCUGCGUCUUUCUUCCCUCUGACGCUUCCAUACUGAAGCAGAUCCACUAAGGCUAGUAUCGCACCCGAUGCGCCUAUUAUGAUCUUGUUUUCAUCAGCUAACGAAAGGCUAAAGAGAGUUGCUGCAGCGUUUUCUCUAGCUUCCAUGGUUCCAGCUCGGAGGACUAGCACUAUAGACGUGACUGCUCCUGCAAGCAUGAUCAGUUCUUUGUUGUGUUCGUAUAUGGAGAGGUUAAGAAUGCAAGUGACAGCAUUUUCCUGCGUUUUAGUGUCCUCUGAGAUCAAAAGCUUGACCAAAACAGGGAUGGCUCCUGCUUCUGCAAUCAGAAUUCGGUUAUCCGUGCUUGUUUUUGACAGAGAGCGGAUUUCAGAAACCGCAGUCCUGCGCUCUUCGAUUGAUCGGCUAGAGAGUUUACGAACCAAUGCCCGGAUCGCUGACAUGCCUCCACUUAGAUCACGGAAAGACCCAUCAGGGUUUUGGGUCCUACCGUUCAUGUAACCACCUGGUUGCUCAAUGUUGUGCUUAGUGCACCACUGUGAUAUCAGGCUUCUGAGGACAUAGUUUGGAGUAAGAGUAAAGUUUUUGAGUUUCUGCUGGGUCUUUGGGCAUCUUAGAUUUCCACAGUCUAUCCACCUCUGUAUGUACGACCUCUCGUAUGUCUGUCAACGAAGAGGGAAGAUCAUUGUUAAGGUUUCAAAUCAACAACCAUACGUUAGCGCUAUGUAAAGAUUUGAUAUUUAAAAUCAGACCUGUCCUGUGGAAACAAUAGCAGGAUCCUUCAUCAGUUCCAGAGAGAUUGGACAAAGAAAAUCCUCAGGGAUUGUGAGUUUAUCCGAUUUCUGUGAGUCAUCGCUGUUCUUGGUAACUACUUUCUCUAAUCUCUCAUCAUCAGCAUCCUUUGAUAAAAAGAAGGCCAAGGAAACCGAAGAGCUCUUCCGAGGAGGCGGUGAUUCAAAUUUCUUCUCAUCUGAUAAAGGAAUGUUGGAAUGCACAGUCUCUGGAAUACUCUCCAACUUCUCAAUAACUUUGCUCUUUGUAUUGCUUGAGGCAUCUUUCUCCAUUGGCUCAGAUAAAGCACUCGAGAACUUCUUCGAAUUUAACGAUCCAUAUCUCUGCAUUGCUCUUCUUAACUGCAAUCUUGCUAGCUCCACCUGAUCACAAGAAAGAACAUUAGAAACACCUCCAACCAGACACAGAAAAAACAAAUGUUCAUAGUCACGAACGAACUUUACCUGUUCGCGGACUUCGUCAGAGAUGUCAUAUCGAUCAUAUGGCAAAUCACCCAAUGCUUUCUCCAACUUCCAUGUAACACAUUGGAACUGGAAUAAAAUUCUCUUGGCAGCCCCAUCCUUCAAUCAAGAUUACACAUCAAAGUUUAGAUAAUUUCUCAUUUGUUUGUUAAACAAUGCUUGUGAACUACACAAAUGUCAACAACAAGAGCUUCCAAUCUAAAAGACUAAAAACAAAUUCUUCCUCCAAAAUAAUGAAUCUAAAGAAUAAUCAUUUCGUUUAGUGAAAUCGAAAAGCUUCUCAAAUUCAAUUCCAUUUUCAAUCGUAGAGAAUGCUUACAGAGGACUCGCGAGCUUGGAAACUAGUAGCUGAAGACAAAAGACGCUUCGCGGCUUGAAGCCCCACAACAAGAUCAGACCACCAAUCACAUUCAUAAGAAAUCAACGACGACGAAGCAUCAGAUUCCGGCGGAGGAGGAGAAGAAUCCCUAAUCUCCUCAAUCAAAUGCGUUAAGAGACCAACACGUCGCGCGAGAUCGGCACAAUCCUUCUUAAACACCCCAAAAUUCACCGGAACCUCAUUGAUUUCAGAGAUAAGACCGAUCAGAGAAGCGGGAGUGAUAGCUCCACCAGCCAUUACGCCGUCGCAUACGGCGGCUUGAAAUUCGAAUUUGGGACUUGCUCUCGCUGGCUCGCUUCUGACACAGAUGCGUCUCUAUCGUUUAUGUUUAUAUCCAACGAAGCCAUGUGGCGAAAAAAGAUCAGUCCCUGUUACGACACCGUUUUGGUUUCAGUGUUUUUUUUUUCCUUUUUUUUAUUCAGUUUAAGUCCAAAUAUGGAUUUUUUAAAAAAAUUAUUUUAGAUAAAGAUUUUUGUAAUACAUUAGAAUAAUACAAUACAACAAAACUGGAUAAUUGAGAGCAAGAUUCCCGGAGCUUGAAGAGAAGAGGAUACAGUUGUUAAAAAAGAUUCAAUUAUUAUGAUUUUGUAUUGGAGCCAAACUUUAUAAUAGAAACGAACCAUACUUUUAAAUUCAAGAAAAUUCAACUUUUAUAUUUAUCUAAGGAUAUGGUUUGUUGCGUGCUUAGUUGUAAAGUCGAUCUUGUAUUAUUGUAUUUUAUAGUUGUGUUGAAAUUUAUUAUAUUCUAAUGGAGUUAUAAGGAAUAAAAAAAUUGACCAAUUGUAUAUCUAUAUGUAUUAUAUAAUCUUAAAUGGUAAUGAAUAGUCAAAUUAGUUAGUUUUUCUAUAUGAAAUGAAACUAAGAUAAAAUUUGCUGUCCUUAGAUGCAUUGCAUUGGAAUGUUUAGAUGGUAUAUGAUCUGUCUUACACUUAUUGAAAGAUGGAAAAAAAUAUUUUCUCUGUAAUUACCUAAUUAUAGCUUUAUAUGUUUUCUUUUCCUUUAAAAAUUUACUUUUUAAGUGUAAUUAUUGUUUGUUUGAUCGUUGAUUUGUUACUUUUUGAAAUCUUUUACUCCUUUUUAAAAAGCAGCAGUGUGGUUUUUCCCAGACCAAAUUAUUAUACUUUUUGAGAUUUUCUUCGCAGGAUCCAAGAAAAACUCAUUUGAAAGACCUGAGAUAUGCGCUUAUUAAAUGUUGAAAACUACUCCAAAGCAAAUGUUGAAAACAAAAUAAAAAGUACAUAACCAUAAAACUUAAUAUGCGCUUAUUAAAAUUUCAUUCUUUCAUACAAUACAAACACAUUAAAUCAAAAAGGCUACAAAAUAUAUGACUCGUAAUUAGCCAUACGAAUGUUAAGUAAAAAUUAAAUAGUUUGAGGACGAUAUGCUCACAUGGCAUAUGCUAUGAAUUAACAUCAUUUUGGUGAGUAUUGUAGCAUGAUCGUAUCUUAGCCCUAUUUAGCUACUCCAGGAGCAAAAGUUCAUGGGCAUGAAAACGAAAUGGUCGAACAUGACCCGAAUUUUUAACAACUUUUUAGAAGAUUUGAAGCAUAUAUACAAUUUGGGACCUAUAAUUUUCUGAAACUAUUUUACAACAGUUUAAUAUACUUUUAGUAAAAUUUAUAAACAUGACUUACAAAUAGUGUGUAUUAAAAAGUUAUAUCGGUUUAACAAAAGAAAGGUUCAACCACGACAUGCACAUCAUAUAUCGGCCGCGUCCUCCAUGCCCGUGACUUCUGCGUCCUACAUAACAACCAAUAACAACUUGAAAAAUAGACAACAUUAUCUCUUAGACAUUAUUGUUAAGUUUGACUGGCUGGUUUCGUAAUUUUUUUUGGACAUAUGCAAAAAUAAAGAAAUCUACUUAAAAAAAAAAAAGAUUAAUGAAGAGGGUAUUCGUCUGAGACUCUGAAUCAGAUAAAGAUUCUAAAUAACCUUGAAGUGUUUGAUAAGGCAGGUGAUUUUUUCUUUGAACAUCCACACAUGCACAACUCUCCACUGACCACAAUACGUACUCGCCGUUAUUUCUGGAAUUUAUGGGGUAGUUGUACUUGCGAAACAAAAGACAAAUAGUAUGAAAGAGAAGGUGAGAUCAGAGUUUAUGCAGUUGUGGAAACAACUUCAUUGAUAGUUGUAGAUUCUGCAAUAGUAUAAAAAAAACAUUAAUGAUGAUUGCAGUUCCUAUGAUAAAUGGGUCCAUUUUCUCAGCAAACAAUCUUCUUUCUACUUGUCAUCAAACAUUCGUUUUCUUUGGUCAUGCAGUUUGGUUUAAUACUAGAUGAUGUUUGAAUAGCGGUUGUACAAUUGUAUUUACUUUCAAGAGGACUUUAUUAAUUCUCAAUAUCACAAACAAAAAGAAAACUCUAUUAAUUGAUGUCUAAUAUGUUUACACCAAAGUCAAAUCUCAAACAAAGCAUACAAAUUUAUUAUGAACGUGUUUGUACUAGGUGGUGAGGUGAUAUUUGACUUAUAGUCUCCAUGCUUAAGACAUCUCCAUGCUUAAGACAUCCUUAAAUAGAUACAUGUCUUUUGGUGUUUAAGUAAACUAAUUUGCUUCCUUUAUAUCUUUAGUAAGUAAGUUUCGUAUUGAUAGAUUCCUUUGUGCGAAAAGAGAGUUUUAAAUUGCUUUUGCAUAAAGAGUAAAGUGUAGUUUGGAGGAAGAUGAACAUACUUGUCCAUUUUAAGAGAGUUAAUUAAUGCUUCCCGUCAAUGUGCAUCGCAAAUACAUUGCUCUAUAUAUUAGCUAAUUUCUUAUAGCUGGAUUGAUCCCAUAUUCAGCGGUUAUCGUCGGUUGGUUAUUAACGAUUUACUACUACUAAUCACCGAAAACAAAACCAGACAUUUAAGAGAAUAGUUGUUUCAACGGUCCAAUUCAGGAUUAACAUAUUUCAAACAUCGUUAUACAUCUCUCUAGUGAAUAUUAUAAUAUAGGGGCCUUUGUAAUGUAACAUUAUUUAGCAAGAUGUGUACAAAGAAAUACAACAAUUUUCAUUGGAAUAGAAGAAGCGUUUCUUGACCAGUUGAACCAUUGUUAGAGGAUUCACUAAAGUCUUGAAGGCAACGAGCUGGCAAAGAAGUCACUGUCGGGAUGAGAGCGAUGUUGAGGUCAGGCAAAUGACUUCGUCCGGUACUAGUACUAUCCUCCGAGCAAUUGGUACUUGGAAUGGGUAAAAUUGUACUUAUACCACAUGAUUCCGAUACUGAAGAAGAUUGAUCACUAAUAAUCUCUGUUUCAUGUUCCUUAUGUGAGGAAUUGAGGUAUCGUCUCGAAAUGUAGUUGGUGUGAUGGUGGAGACGAUGAUUGGUUGGGUCGAUUCCCAUUUUCAUGAGCUUCCUCUUUAAGUAAGUUUCCCAAUGGAUCCUAACUUCGUUGUCCGUUCGUCCAGGCAAUCUUCCCGCUAUCAAUGACCAUCUGAAAAAAACAUACCAUAAACAGUUAUUAUUAUCACGUACCGAACCCACUACUAUUGAAUUAAAGAAGAAGAAGAAUGAAUAAAUAAGAACCUAUUGCCAAGAAGUGCAUGAAGCUUGAGGAUGAGGUCGUCUUCAUCUUUUGAGAAGUUAAUUUGUUUAACUUCUGGCCUUACGUAGUUUCUACCUCUCAAUCGACAUCUUCUACCGCGGUGUUGCAUUCCUAAAAAUGAUUAGGGAUCAGAUUUCACAAAUUAAAACGAUAUAUCCACACAAACUCCCACAUGCAUAUCCACAUAUGUGAUAUUGUGAUAUAUAAGUUCUACAUCGACCUCUUUAAACUAUGAAUAAUUGGUCAUAUGAAUAGCCAAACACACGAAUGUUACUGUUUAUAUAAAAAGAAAAUAAGUUACCGGAAGGCGGAGAGAGAGCACGGAGGCGGAUCUUGUUCAUGUCUUUUUCAAAGUGAGAUUGGUUGAGUUAUGUUUUUUUUUUUUAAAAAAAAACUGUUGAUUGAUUAUGAGGUGGUUUGCGAGAAGCAAACUGAUAUAUAGGAUUAGGGGAUGGAUAGAGGAUAUAGGUUUGACUUGGACUGGUGGGUUGAGAGAAGCGUGCAUGCUCAUUUAAACAUUAAUGAACGAGGAAGAACAAGAAGAACACAUCAACCUUGUUAAUUGGUCCUACAUUUUGAAGUUGAAACAAAUAAAAACUGGUCCCAUAUAUGUUCAAAGCCAUUAGAAUUUGUGGAAUCAUAAAUGUGGAAAUAUGUCGCAUUUAAUUUGCCUUACCAGUACCAAUCCAAAUCUCACUCUUAUCCACAUUUUCGUAAAAUAAAAGUAUGGCUUCGAUAGAUACCUUUUGUGAAAUAUCAAAGAUAUAUACAUGUGUGUGGUAUCUCAAUAAUAGUUUCACUAAAAUGUGUGUGGAGUAUCAAACAAGAAGAAGACGAAGAAGAUAUUUGACAAGUGGCUUAAAAUUAUUUGGAUGUAUUAUUUGAUAUAAUAUCAGAAGUUUCCGAAUAUAAUAUGAAAAUAAACAAAUUAUGAGAAAACAGGAGGAAACCACAAAAUUAAAGAGUGAAGGUUCAGGAACAGAUAAGGGAGAAACAUGGGAGCAUUGAAUUGAAUUUGACUGGUGGUUAGGAACUUAGUAUACGAGGAAUUUUCCAAUUUCACUCACCUCUCCCCUCUCUCACUUACCCUACCCAAAAUCAUAUACUAAGCAAAAAAUAUUGUUAUUGGGCCCCUUAAAGCCCGUAAGUGUUAGCCCAAAAGCCCAUUAAAAAGGUGGCCGAGUUAAAAACAAUGAUAGCAAUAUUUCAAUAGAAGUAUUCUUAAGACUUUCUGUAUAAAGAUAUCACGAAUUCAAUCAAAUAUUUUCGUAUUUUCUGCACUCGUAAUUAUAAGUUGUUUAGUUUUAGAAUCAUAGCCACCAUUUAACAUCUUGUCACUUGACCAUUGCAAAAGGCCUCAUCAUCAUAUUGUCUUCAUGGUCCAAUAUCUGCAAUCAUAUAUAUAUAGUCAGAGUUCUAAAAGAAAAAAAAGCUAAAUUCGUUAUCAAUUUUUUAGUUUUUUUUUUUUUUUUUUUACUAGCUUACGUGACAAUGGUAGACAUAGCCUGGCUCUUGCGUUGCGUCGAAGGAGUAAGAGUCGUUUGAGUGAAUGUAAGAAAAUCUGACGAGGAUCUUCGUUACAUGCCCCGGCAUCAUCUUGAAUACGUUUUUCCAUCCCCGCUCGUGUACCGUCACCGCGGUCUUGUUUCCUCGAGCGUAUUUGCUAAUCUGACACUUGAUGGCGUCGUUUUCUUUAGUCAUACAGUCUGUGAACUCCUCACUAUUCACCAAUGCCGUUUGCUCCAAUACUUUGAACAAUCCCAAGUGAAUGUGCAAUGGAUGGUUAUCCUCCGUCAAAUUAAUCACUUCCCACACCUUCAUUAUUGUAAGAGUUAAUUAUACGAAUUAAACGGUUAAUAAAUUAGUGAAAUUGUAGUAAUAAAUACCUCGCUUGUGCCGAUUUUUGGAGUUUCUGUCACGGGAGCGUUGUACGGCAAACCGUUGAUGUAUAGAUGUGUUGGCUCGUCAGUGCUAGACACAUACUCGAACAUAGCAAUGUAACGUGUACGUGAGGAGGUUGAUACAUUAGCAGGCGGGUAAUCAAUUAACUUCUUCGGAAUAGUCGACGUGUCAACUUCUGAUCUGUUCUUGAUUUUAAACUUCAUGACUUUGCUGUUCUCUUCCGUGACAGGAUCUCCGGACGGGUAAGGAUAAGGUGCAUUGUUGGCAAGAAUUGCCGUUUUCGAUGUUGACUUUGAAAAGUCAACGACGACGUCGACAAUCUCCGACGGAGCGAGGAGGACCGAUUUGGUCGAUACUGGUUUCGCUAGAUAAGCUGAAUCAGAACCCACGACAAUGAACUCGAGACCGUUGGAGAAAAAGAACCGGAAAAACCUUGCGUUACUAGCGUUUGUGAUUCGAAAUCUAUAUUUCCGGCGACGGACAGUUAGUCGCGGCCAAGCUUUACCAUUCACAAUGAUGGCGUCGCCGAAAUACUCUGGCUGCCAUUGCGGAUGAAUCGACGGGUUGUUCCCUGUAGCGUUCAUGUAAAUGGAACCAUCUUUACGAAAACUUCGGUCAAAGAUGACCAAAGGACGAUCAAAUUCACGGCCGGUAGGUAAUCGGAGAGGCGAUUCGACGGAGCUGUGGCGGAGAAUGUAAGCACCUAGCAAACCAGCGAGGAGGUUGACUCUAGUCAAACCCAACGCGUGGUCAUGGUACCACAUGUUUCCAGGUUGUUGCUUGUUAACGUAAUGCGUAGUCUUUUUAGUCCAUCUGGAUCCAGUCUCUUUGAAAUCAGCAGUGAACCAUGAAUCUGCAUUUCCAUCGCUAGUUGGUUCGUGGAUGCCGCCGUGCAAGUGAACCACCGUGGGAAUGCCGCCGUGUUUAGGGAUUGCAGGGGAGAUUGUUGGGUCCCAAGGGAGGAUAUGAUGUAACGGGAGGUAAUUUCGCCACGUCACGUAGGUGUCGACUCCAUAAACAGCUUCUAUUGUCGGUCCAGGAACUGUUGCUAAACGCCUCGAUGUACCAUAUGCGAACACUGGCGUGGCAGGCAAGUCUCUGUGGAAUUUCUGUAGUUCACAAUAAUUUAACUCAUAUUAGUGUGUGUGACAGUGUUGGAGAAUAUUCAAAAAUUCAAAUCAUGCGAUUCAAUAAUUAGCACUUAGCAGAGUAAUAAAAUAGUUAAAAGAAGCAGAGCACAAUUAGCUAGGCCAAAGUGGUACAAAAGCAAUCAUAGUUAUAUAGUUAGUGGGUACUAACUUUCUAUCAAAUAAUCAUUAUAUUUUUUGUUCUUAGUACAAUUUAUCAAAAACAAAAUGUAAAGAGCUUAUAUAUAAUACUCUCUCUGUUUCACAAAGAGUGUCAUUUUAGAGUUUUGCACACAGAUUAAGAAAACAUUAAAUUUUUUGUUUUUUCUAAACAAAAACAUCAUUAACUAUAUACCUAAACAUAAUCUGCCCAAUAGUAAAGCAAUCUGCAGAAUACUAAUGGUCAUAAAACAUAAAAAAUCAUUAAAUUUUGCAUUGAAAACUUAAAACGACACUCUUUGUGAAACAAAAAUAAAACCUUAAAACGACACUCUUUAUGAAACGGAAGGAGUAAAAGAGUAUUCAUUCGGUAGGAGAGCAAAUAAUACUCCAUCCGUUUCAUAAUAUAAGAUGUUUUAGAAAAUUUUUUUUGUUUCACAAUAUAAGUCGUUUUCAAAUUUCUAUGUAAUUUAUAUAUUAUUUUAAUAUUUUAUGAUUAUUGAUAUUAUGAAGACUAUUUUAUGAUUAGUUAAACUUUUAAAAGGUAGAUCUUUUUAAUCUGCGUGCUUUUAAUUAAAACGACUUAUAUUAUAAAACGGAGGUAGUAUUAAAUUUGACUAGUGAUAAAAGAAAGUGCACUGAUUCGUCAGACUUAUAAACAUUAGAUAUUUUUCCCAAGAGGAAAAAUAAUAAGAAGAGGACAAGAUUGGAUACACAAGAUGAAUCUAUUCCAAUCACUUUACCAACAAAGACCCGUAGCCAACUAGAAAGCGAUUAAGUUUCACUAAUCUAUACGAUUUCGAAUAUUUAAUAUGUUAAAUUCAUGUCAUUAAUGAGUUUAGAUUCAAUAUUUGUUUUGGUCAAGAGUUUAUAAACAAAAAGGAAUUUGAGUAUUCAUUCGGUGAAGGGCAAGAAAUAUUCAACAUGACGAGUGAUAAAAAGUAUAUUAUCAUUAUACUUUUUUCUCAAAGACGACAAAUAUAAGUGAGGGAGGGGACAAGAGUGUGAACACAAAACACGAAUCUAUUCUAAUCACUUUACAACCUAAGAGCCGUAGCCAAGUAAUUAAAAAGCAAAUUAGCUUCACUAAUCUUAUACGAUUUGGAUUUUAAUGUUAAUAUUCAACAUUAAUUAGUCUGUUUAAGUUGGUCAACAAAAUUAAUGAGUCUAUUUUCUUGCAUGUAAUACAGGUGUAAAUCACUAAAUGAUGAUUAUUUGAAUUUUCUAUCUAAAUAUUUUGGCCAUUUAUAGCCUCAGGACAGAAAUGGAAGAUGAUCUGUUUUCACGAAUGACUAUAGACUGAAAAUUUAAUUUCACAUACCAAAUAUAACUUCAGAAAAACUGAGGAAUAAGGAAAAAAAUUAUAAAAAAGGAAAGAAUUAAAAUGAGAAUAAGGUAAGAAUUAAAUACCCAUUUCUUGAGGAACAUGCCUAUGUGAAGAGAUUUGGGUUUAAGGAAGCCAUUGACGAAGUGGUAGCCAUGAAGAGUAGGGAUAUGAGGAAGCUUGUCAACGAACAUCUCUAGCUUCUCAAGAUUGAACAGUCGCUCCUUUGCCUUUAUGCCUCCUGCGUCUCCGGUUACGAGCCAUGUCAUCGUUACGAUUAGGAGGAAAAUGUCUCUGGUCAUUAUCCUCCGAGAAGGCUUAGGCUCCAUGUCUUUGUCCUUCACGAGCUGUCGAAAUAUGCGAAAAAGUCAAGUGUGUGUUUGUGUGUUUGUAUGUGUGGAAUACUUAAAAGUUGAGGAGAGAAGUUGAAGAAGUUCUUUGGGUUUUUGCGUAUUUAUACAUAUGAGUGUGUGGUGUGAAAUAACUUUGUCGAUCUUUGCUUUCAUACUUUUGACUCUUGAGUCGUUCUUUCCUAAAAUUUAUAAUCUAAAAAGGAAUGGUUUUUUUAAUUAGUAAACUAUUCUAUAUUUAUAAAAGUAGAAUUUGAAUAUUAUGUACUUGAUGACUAAUAUUUAUUUUAAAAUUAAUAUGAUUCAUAUCUAUCAAAAACUGAAAAUUAAAUAGGGUUUAUAAUUCUUUUUUUUGAAUAACAAUUAACAAGGUUCAUAAUUCUGGCUUCUCAAAUCUAGGUUAGAUGUCCAUUCAUACGACAAUAUGGGUCUUUUUCGAAUAAAUUUGACCUUCUUCUAAGAAGCUCAUUCUUUUUAUUUUCUAAUAUAACUAAUACAUGAAAGUAAACCAUGGAAACUUUUGGGCCUAGUCGCCUAGUUCGUCCACUAUAUUUCGUCCCGUUAUUAAGAUAUUUUCUCCAACUUAAGCGUUACAUAAUUUUUUAGAAUAAGUUUUUCCAAUCUCUCGAAAAUUGUCUUAACCAUGUUAUCGUUUUAGCUACUUCACUUCGCCUCUCGUAACAUGGAUUAUCGCAGACCCAUAAUGGCUAAAGGUUACCAUCCAAGCUUGUGGGAGGUCUCAUAAGCAUUCCUUCACCAAACGGAUCUUUGCUCGCAUGUCCAAACACCGAAUUUCAACUAUUGAAAUUUGUAGUUAUGUUUGGCCUUAAAGGUCGAACCGUUUAUCUGCGAGUUAGCCGAAAUCCAGCAUACCUAUUGUUCUCUAAAUUUUUUCAUUUAUUUUAUUUUGAUAAAAACUUGUUCUUCAUUAAUUUUAAAAGUAGCAAAAAAGCAUCUUAUUUAUCAAAGACUCAAAAUAUAAAAUAUAUCUAGCCAGGCCCAAAAUGAACCCAACUUGAACCAAGAACUUUUCAAAAGGGGAUAAUCUAACAGCCCAAAAGCUAACUUAUUCUUUAUUUGUUACAAAUUGGAACUAUUGUUACUUUAAAACUCUUGUUGAUGCUACUCCAAAGAUUAUCAUCUAGCAUGAGUUCUAACGUAAAAAGCAGGCAAAUAGUGGUUACACAUAUAUAUAUAUAUAUAUAUAUAUAUAUAUAUAUAUAUAUACACUAUGCUUUUCAUAUGAAUACACAUCUUAUUUUAUACAACUGAACUAAAAGAUAUAUCUUCAGUUUUUUUUAAAGAAAAUUUUUCUGACAAUCCAAAUGACCCAAAAAUGAAAUUUUAACAAGAAAUUACACCAAAUUACCUUUUUAUAGAGUGUGAGGGAAAAAAAUCAAACCUGACUAAAAUAAUCGAUUCAAACCGAAAUUAAUCAAUUUGAAAUUGAAUCAACAAAAUUUAAAACAAAUUCAACCAUUACACACAUUUUUAUAUUAUAUUCAAAUUUUACGAUCAAUCCAGUUCUACAAAUUUCAGGUUUGGUUCGUUUUUGGUUUCGCAGAUAAUUGCCAGCACUAUUGACUUUUGAGCCUGUCUAUGUUUUGGUGUUCCUAGUCAAAAUGACUGUAAGCCGUCGAUGUCUUGGUUACUGUACACGUGUAGAUUAUCCAAAAGCCACAUCUCCCACCAAGCUAAAAUUGUGGUUGUCACAGUCAAAACGACGAUUUCCUUAAGUCCCACCUCAAUGCGCUAAAACGCGGCGCGUUUGCGUAUGCCCUUCGUGUGUCGUUUCUAGUCUCUCCAUUUGUUAUGUUUUGUGUCCUUUUCACAAUUUCAAAUCUAACAUAUCUUUUUUUUUUGUGUGUUUCAACUUUCAAGUUGUGUUAAGUCAUAAUUUAAUAAUCAGUCAUUUCAGUUUAGUCCCAAACAGUUGAUUUGAAAUAUCCAGGGAGAUACUUAAAUAAAUGUCAUCUCGAUCAUCCUAAGCACCAUGAUAAUAUAUAACUUCGGAUUUUAAUCUUCUUGGGAUUUUAUUUAAAGAUCACUCAUUCUAAGAAUUAAACAGGUGUUUGUUUUACGUGAGGUAUUUUUACUAUUCACAUCUUGGUAAAUGGUAAUUGGUUAUGAUAUAGCAAUUUUUUUUUUUUUUUUUGAGUUUAGGUAUGAUGAAGAAGUAUAGAAUUAAUAAAAAUUCGGCCAACAUAUUAUAUGUCACAUAUAUAUACACACUCAUCAAGGUGUGAACUACAAAAAUAUUAAAAGCAAAAUUCUAUAAGGUUCGAUAUUUAUAUGGUGCCACAAUUUUACUCGAAGAAUAAUAUAUUACAUCUCCGAUCAUCCAUGCAUGUAACAAACAUACUCAAAAUAGUUAUAAAUAAAACAAGUAGCAGACAAAACUGUGCAAUAAAGUAAUAGUAUCGUGAGAAACAGAAUUUCUACUUUCACUUACAAAAUGACUUGUCUCCUUACGGGUGGUCGGAAAGAUUUUGCUACGGCUACGUACUCCAAGUUAAUUACGGUUACUAUUAUUAUUUUUGAUUAGUUACGCGUCAUUUUCUAAACCUAAAGUCAUUACUAACAAAGUUAUGUGUAUAAAUAUCGUUUUUUUAAUAAAUGUUGUAUUACAGAUAUCGUGCAUCAUCAGCCGCAUAUAUACUUCGAUUGAGGAACAAUCGUAGUUAAUGGCUCCGAAGAAAAUCUACUUAAUCGAUGUUGGAUCUUCUACGUGUCAGAAAUUACGUCAUGGAAGAUAAAAGAUAGAGUUUAGAAGUUGAUAAUAUUUUAUUAUAUGAUGAUGUAUGUAUUUCACUUUGCAUGGAUUAACACAAAACCAAUUCACAACACUUCUUUUUCUCACCAAUUUGCCUCCACAAAACCGAUAAAACUCCAACAGCACGUAGCUUUUUUUUCUUCCUAAUUUAAAUUUUACCCAAGUUAAACACUUAACCGUUUUUCUCUUUUUCGUAAUUUUAUCUAAAAACUAACUUCAAUUAAUAACCUUUAGUAUUUAAUUCCACUAAUAUAUUAAUUUUAGAUAAUCGUAAAAACAAUAUCACCCGAAAAUACUUGAUAUAAAACAUAUUGAUUAUACAUAUUCCACUAACUUAUUUUGAAAAAUUUACACAAGUUACUUGUUGGUUCUUCCUCGAUGCAUACACAUACCAAAAGAGAGAAAGAGCCAAUUGCUUGAUACAACGUUACAUGUUAUGGAUAAUAUAUACUACUAGAGUAUACUAUUAUUACAUAACGGUACAAGCGUUGGGAUUCUCGUCGCUAAAAAGAGAAACGAAGUUGUCGUCGGGAGCUCCCGGCAACAGCUGCAACUGCGACUGCUCAGAUUUCCUGACAUAACCAGCCGGAGCUUUUUUGUCGUAAGUUCCGACUGCGUAUGGAUAUGCGACCAUGUUGUAGGGAACGUACGGCCAUAUCUCCGCCUUUUUCCCUGUCCUUUCGACUCUCUUUAACACCUUCUUCGGUUCCACGUAUCCACUCACCGUCACUUUGUGUAUCUUUCUGUUCACCUCCACCGAUCUCACCCCUACAAGAUUCGUAUGGAAAUGGGUUGUUGUUAGUUGUUACAUAAAAGUGGUGACGUUUUAUGGAAAUCAUCAAGAAAUUAUAAGGAAUACUACAGAAACCAUUCACGACAUCAUUAGAUUACGAGCUGGAGAUUCAAACCUUUCAUGGAGGAAACCGCGUUCUUGACUCUGCGUUCACAACCAUCGCAGUCCAUUUUCACCUUUAUAUUCACCGUCUGCAUGACUUUACGCUUCCUCCUAUUUCUGGAGACGCGGAAGUAGUCGGAGAUAUACUCAGAAAGAGAAUCAAGAGCACCCAUGUCUACUACUCUCACCAAGACGAUGUCGCAGAUAUAUAUGAGAGAUCAGAGAUGCAUAUAUAUUAUGGACUAGACUCGACCAUAUUUAUAGCAAGUACAUGGUGACUUGAUAAAAGUGUUAUGCCGAGGAUUUAGUACAAUUAAAUGUGUUUAAUAUUCAUAAAGUGUGGCCCUCUCUAAUGAUGUUUUCCUCCAAAUACACACGAUGGACAACGAUGCCAAAGUUUUUGGGCUAAAUCACACGACUCGACCGAUUUCUUUGUUACAAAAUUUUAACAUCCGUUUUAUAUUGAAAAGCUAACUAUAAUAAACAGAAGAGUAUAAAGUGAUAAUUUCUUCUUUUUUAACAAUGUCCGAUCGGUCGCGAUUAUAAAAAAACAAUGUCACGGGGUUAGAGGUUUAUCAUCCCCAUCACCUGAAUCACCUCACAAUUCACAUGCAUCAAAGUUAAUAUAUGCAUUGGUAAUGGCAAUUAUGGUUGGGUAGAUUCUUCUUUUACCAUCUAAACUUUUUCUUUUGGUUUUGUGUUUUAAAAAGGGUCUCUAUUAUAGAUUACAAUUUUGUUUAUGAUUAUUAAUUUCGUAUUACCUAUAGCCUAUAGCUAUUUAUGAUGUCGGUAUGUACAAGUUUAAGGCAUAAUUGUAAUCGUGUAUUGAAAACAAAAUGAACAUUCUAAUUAAUUUAACUGUAUUGUUACUAUGGAUAGGUACACGAUCGGAGGAAUGAUAAUAAGGUUUAUAGAUAAACUACACAAUCACACAUUCAAUUAUUUAAAUUUAGGUCAGAAACAGUAAAAGGGAAUAGUAAUAAGAAAAAAAUAGAAAGGAAUGUAGCAAUAAAGAUGGCAAUGAUUCGAUGAGAAAAAUAAGGUGUGGGGGUCCGAUUUUACGAAGUAGACAACUCAAUCAAACUAUUAUGUAGUCUAUAUGUUUGAAAAAGAAGUUAUAAAGCCCUUCAACAUCUUUUCUUAUUAUUUGUAUUAAUAUUUUUUUGUCUUUAUACUUUCCACCCUAGAAACUUCGUUGGCAUUUUCUUCUCUUGCAGGCUGGGCAAAAUAUUCGUUAGAUUCGCUUCGAUCUGUUAUUCGAUUCGAUUCGAUUUGAAAAAUCCGGAUAUCCGUAACUUUUCGAAGCAAAUCAAAUAUUAAAAAUAGAUAUUCGUAAAAAUCGGAGCAAAUAUCAAAUACUAUAAUUUAAAUUAGCCGAUAUCCGAUUCGCUCCGGAAUACAUACAUAUAUAUAGAUUAUUACAUAUAUAAAUUAUAAUUUUAUUAUUCUUGUAAGCGUUUUAUAAUUUUUAAUCUCUGAAUUAAUUAUUUGAACUACUAGUUUGAACAAUUAAAGGAGAAAUAUAUAUAUUUUUGAUAAAAUAUUACUAUUUUUAAUAAAAUUUUACAAUUUUUGGAUUAGAUUUUAUUUAUUAAAUUUUUUUUUUGUUUAAUUUUAAACAAAUACUUAACGGAUCGAAUAUCCGGCAAAUAGUUUGGAUUUUAACGGAUAUUCGAACAGCCGGGUAUCCGGUCACUAACGAAGCAAAUACGAAUCGAAAAACUUAGUAUUCGGAAAAAACGAAUCGAAUAACAAAUACCACUACAAACUCGGAUAUCCGCGCUGUGCCCACCCCUAUCUUACACCCCAAUUAUCAUAUUCUUAGACCUCUUUCUUUUUUUCCUUUUACAAAUUUAUAUAUUUCUAUAUUUCUCUUUUACUAUUUAAUUUUAGAAUCACAAGAGUAAUAAUGUAUAUGUCACCACAAUUUAUCGAAUUUCAAUUUUGAGUAAAUGUAUCCCACGAGUAAUUUUUGAAAAAGUCAACAAUAUGCUAAAGAGGGGCGUUACCGAUAUAAAGUUAAUUCCAAAAGAGGGUUUCAUUGAAAUAGUCACAUAAUUUCAAGAUGAAUAAAUCGACAGCUAUUAUAUAGCACGCAAUAGCAUUUAGCAUAGCCUCACUUUUACAACGAAAGAUUACUAAUCAGGGAAACAUAAGCAUUGAUCAAUGGGAAAAAUGUCGAAAAAUGUGCCAACUUUUAAAUUUGGGACGAUUAAAACAUGAACUCUCGAAAUAUUUCUUUAAUCACAAAGUUUCCGUUGACCUGUCUCGUUAAGUCUCCGUUAGAACGAUGCUGACGCUGUUAACAAUCCGUUAGAUUCUCCGUUCGAUCAAAAUGACGUCGUUUUGAAGUUUUUCAAACGACGUCGUUUCACCAGAAAAUAAGAAGGAAAAAUGGCAUCUCCAAAGAAUCGAACUGCUGACCUGUUACAACAAUAAGAGACACUCAACCAUUGGGCUAUAGAAACAUUUUAAUGUUAGUACAAACAGAACGUGUAUAUAUACUAAAACCUGGUAAUAUAAAUUAGGUAAAAAUAUAUGCAAUUAAUUAAAAAUAACAAAAUUAAAAAAUAAUAAUAACCAAAAAUACAAAUAUUAAAUAUACUUAUCAUAGUAUAUGUAUCAAAAUCUCAAAUAUUAUUUUAUAAAUAAAGAUUUCUUCCAUAUUUGGAAAAUUAUUCCUUCUAAUAUAAAAAAAAAUUAAAUAUAUGACAUAAAAUUAAUCAUAUAAUUAUGCCUUAUAUGCACCAAUGAUACAUGCACCAACCACAUUAAACAUUUAUACAAAGUUUAGGUUUUUAUAAUUUAGGAAAUAAUAAUUUUCCAAAAUAGAAUAAAAUCUUUAUAUAUAUAUAAUUAAAUGUUUAAAAUUUUGAAAUAUAUAUUUAAGGUAAGUAUAUUUAAUAUGUGUAUAUGUUUGGUUAUUAAUUUGUUUUUUAAUAUUGUUAUUUUAAUUAGUUGCAUACUCCCUCCGUUUUCGAAUAGUUGUCGUUUUAACUAGAGAAAUUGUUAAAAAUGCCCCUUUUUCAAUACCCCUUUUCAAAAAUGCCCCCUUUGAGAGUCCAUUUUUAAGUUUGCCCUCUUUUAAUUUUUAAUGACCAUUUUACCCUUAUUUGAAACAAAAUUAGGUCCACAAAAUACAAAAUAUUUUUUGGCGGGAAAAGUGAUCCCGCAAUUUUCCCGCCAAAACACUUGUAAAACCUUUAAAAACCUUGUAAAAUUUUACCGUAAAAUUUUUCCCGCCAAAAAUUUUCCCGCCAAAAAAUUUUUUCACGCGCGGCCAAUUNNNNNNNNNNNNNNNNNNNNNNNNNNNNNNNNNNNNNNNNNNNNNNNNNNNNNNNNNNNNNNNNNNNNNNNNNNNNNNNNNNNNNNNNNNNNNNNNNNNNCCCUCCAAAAAAUAUUUUGUAUAUUGUGGACCUAAUUUUGUUAUAUUUCCUUAUAUAUUUAUGAUAUCUUUUAUUAAAAGAAGGGUUAUUUAGUCAUUUUGUACAUAUAAGGGGUAAUUUUAAAAAUGGACAUCCAAAGGGGGCAUUUUUGAAAAGGGGUAUUGAAAAAGGGGCAUUUUUGUGAGUCUCCCUUUUAACUAUAUGCACACAAAUUAAGAAAUUAUUAAUGUUAUUAGUUUUUCAAUAUAAAAAUAUUAUUAAUUAUCUACCUAAACAUAAUUUAACCAAUAGUAAAUCAAGUUGCAUAAUAAAAAUAAAUAUAAAAAAUAAAAAAAGUAAUAAAUUUUGCAUCGAAAACUGAAAACGACAACUAAUUAAAAACAAAAUUUUUUAUCUAAAACGACUACUAUUCGAAAACGGAGGGAGUAUAUUUUUACCUAAUUUAUGUUACCAGUUUUUAGUAUAUAUACACGUUCUGUUUGUACUAACAUUAAAAUGUUUGCGUAGCCCAAUGGUUGAGUUUCUCUUAUUAGUGUAACAGGUCAGCUGUUCAAUUCUUUGGAGAUGCCAUUUUUUCUUCUUAUUUUCUGGUGAAACGACGUCGUUUGAAAACUUCAAAACGACUUCUUUUGAUCGAACGGAGAAUCUAACGGAUUGUUAACAGCGUCAGCAUCGUUCUAACGGAGACUUAACGCGAUGCCUAAUUUGGCCAGGUCAACGAAAACUUAGCUAUUUUUAGACAGGUCAACAGAAACUUUGUGAUUAAAGAGACAUUUCGAGAGUUCAUGCUUUAAUCGUUCCAAAUUUAAAAGUUGGCGCAUUUUUCGACUUUUAUCCCAUUGAUCAAUGGAUGGGGUUAUUGUCUAAAUAGGCAUUUGCUAGCCCAAAACUUUCAAUUUACGCAUUUCUUCCCGUUCCCUCAGUUUUAAGCAUUUUCUUAAUGCGUAGAAAGACGACAUUACCCCUCUGAGACUCGUCACUUCAUUUGGGUGGGAUAUGGCAAAUUGAAAAUCCUUCACUGCUCGGGAGACUUGUCGCACCGUCCACGUAAAACGAAUAUUCAGGAAGAACAUGAUAAGAACUCAAUACUCAAACUCAAUUGCUUAUUCUUAAUCCUCUGUACACAAUUCCAAAGAUAAUUGAUAUUAGAUUUAAAGAAGUACAACAAUGAGUCUCAAGAACAACAAUAGCAACAAGAUGAUGUGAAACAAAGAACAAAUUGAAGUUAGAAUCCUCGCAUCUCUCAGAUUCUAUCUUCACCACACAGUCUCAUACCGACGGAUCCAUCCUCACAAUUCACAUGCCUUUCUCUAUUUCUCUUCACACUUGUUUCUCUAUUUAUAAAUUUCUUCUUCCCUCAGUUCUUCUCGGCACACAUGCGUUGCACGACUUCUCUUUCAUUCUCAUUAUGCUUCUUUCUCCUAAAGUACACUCUUUGCACCUUAUCAGAUCAUCAUACAAAUUUACAAUUCAUAGAAACUACAACUACACAUCGAAUAAUAUUGUCACGAGUUAAACGCACAUUUAAUAAAGAACAUUAUACCCUAAGGACUACCACAACGAGGGAACCCAAGCAACCGACUUAAACGCACAUUUAAUAAAUAACAUCAUACCCUAAAGACUACAACAAUGAGGGAACCCAAGAAACCCAAGAAAAUGCUUGUUGACAUAGAUUAACAUUGACUCAUCAGAUAUUUAGCUUAGCAAUAGUUGACAGAAAAACGACCUGAUACGCUUAAAUGUUUAACAAGAGAGUUCAGAUUCAUACCUUCGCUCAAGAUCUGAGAAGCUUCACUUAUAGAACAUGUGUUUAGUGUUAUUCUCAUCUGGGAAUUGUCUUCCAUAUGAAGAUCCAUAGCAAGAAGCUGAUUUCUAUCACCAUCAUUGUUCUGGUGGUUACUUGUUGGAUCUGCAAUUCACUCUUUAUUUAACUAAGACCAUUGUCAUAAUGAGUAAAACGUGAUAUACCUUGAACGAUAAUUAUUUUUUCCAGAGAACAUGCAAAAAGAUGGAUCAAGUACACACAUGGAGAGAUGAAUCAACCAAAGGAUUUGCUAAUAAAGAGAGCAAGAGAUCUAAAUUUCAGACUAAAACCCUAAGAUUUCAAUUUCUUAGAAAGGUUCUUGAGGUUACCAACUAUCCACAAUCACAGUGUUUAUAUAUCUUCCCCAAACCUCUCUGAUAUAACACCACCACAACUAAUUACUAUAGAAAUCUAGAACCAAUUUGAUUUGUUUCUCCCGUAAGAAUAAAAACAUAACGAUUCAUGCAAAGAAAGAGAGCUCACAUACUCCCGACAUCAAGCAAUUCCCAAAAGGCUUCCAACGCUAUAGAGAAGCAACAACAAAAUAAAAAAUCGGAGACAAAGAUGCAAAGUAAGCAGAGUAAAAAAUCAUUCGAAAUCAGCAAAAUGAGAGGAGGGAUAGAGAGAAGUUACCUUUGAUUAUGAGGAGUGAAUCAUUUCGUAUUGGAGUGUAACACGAGCUGGCUUUCGGCGGAUGAACUUUGACCAUCGGUUCCUCAGAUUAGCGACGAAUCCAGCAGCUUGACGAAUCUCUUUGACGAAUAAAGCUACCAAUCCUUUUCUGGAUCUUCUAAGCAUAUUCUCCGAGGGUUUUUCCAUCAUGAAAGACGAUCUCAAAUUUUUGUUUGAUUUUCGCUGAGACGAGGAUUUUGGGAGGCGAGAGAGCUUAAGCGUGAGGGCAAGGUGGAUAUUUCCUCGCAGGUGAAAAUACCUAAAACGAAAGUUCCGGCAUCGUACCGGAUUCCGUAAUUUUGUGUCCAAAAAGGCCCAGUCCGGUAAUUUAAUCAUCAAUGGAUAUAUGCGUGUCCACAUCCUCCAUUUACAAAAAAUAAUAAAAAAAUUAACAACUCUUUUUAACUAUCUACACUGUGUUUGUGAUAAGAAAAAGCCGUUAUGUUAUAGCCCAAUCAAUUACUUUGACCCAUUCUUGUUAGUUUAACAACAUUGACUUGUCCUUGGCUCAAAUGUAGAAGUGGUCGUCGGAUUGGUUUGUUUCAUUCUUCUCCUUAGUUUUAUAGGAUUCCUUGCCUCUUCCGUUGUUUUAUUGUUUGAUCUUCCUUUGUUUCCGAGUUCCGCUUUCUUUUUCUAAGUGUUAUGGUUCUCUUAGUGUCAUGUAUUCUAUUUUGUGUUUCCCGCGAAUCGGGUUUUAGUUUCCGGAGAUUUCUUUGUUUUUUUGCCCGCUAGGUAUUUCAAAAACGUAUUCCACCCAUGUAUUUUUUUUUUGUAUUAUAUUAUGAAAAUGAUUAGGUGAAAAAAAGAAAAAGAAAAAAAACAACAUUGACUUGUCAUUUGUCAUAAGACUCCUAACGAAAUAACUAUAUACCAAAACAUCUCACACUCUGGUAGUGAAUUUUCUAUAUGGUACUACAUCAUACAACUGUGUCCGUGCACUUUUGCUCGGAGAGAAAACAGUCUCUAGAUGCUCAGAUCUCUGAAAUUUUGAAUAGAUCAUAGAUCAUAACAAUUCAAUAGUCCAAAAAGAUGAAACAAAAUGUAGUAAAAGAGAUAAACAAGAAGAGAAAACAGAGCCGUGAAAACGGGUUUCAGCCAACAAGUUGGGUUUUCCUCAGCCUAUCCAUCUUUACAGCCAAAUCCGCGACUUUAUCUUUCCGGCCUUCAUCGAGAAGCGUUUGUUUAAGACGGCUAAACAAAUGUCCCGGUGGCCUAAUACCAACAUCCAACAUCUCAUUGAAAUACUCACAAGCUUCGUCUAAUUUAUUCUCAUGGCACAGAGCUGUGAUCAAACUUGAGAACAUGUGCAUUCCCGGAAGAACACCUUUUCCUUUCAUCUCGUCCCAAAUCUUGAUCGCCAUAUCCAAUCUCUCUUUGUUGCAAAACAUCCUCACCAUGAUCUCAUAAGUACUCACCGUCGGUUCACAACUCAUCUUCUGAUAAACUUCAUAGGCUUCUUUUGUGCGCUGCAUUCUAAUCAAAUGAUGAAGAAUUAUAUCAUAAGUUCUAGCAUUUGGGCCAAUCCCUUUCGAUCUCAUCUCAUCCACGGUUUUAAAUGCGUCUUCCAUUCGCUGUGACCAGCAAUAAGCUCCAACUAGUGCAUUGUAAGUAGGAGCUUCAAGAGGAAACCCGGAACUCUUUGACCUCUCAAAGAAUUCAAGAGCAUCAUUCAGCUUCUUCUCAGAGCCAAGUCCAUUAAUCAGACUACAGAAAAUGUGAGGACUCGGCUUACAAUUCCUCUGUUCCAUCUCAUUGAAGAAUCUAACAGCUUCAUCAUACUUUUUCGCCUUGCAAUACGCAUUGAUAAUGAUACCGUACGCAACCACAUCCGGUUCAAAACCUUCGUCUUUCAUCUCUCCAUAAACCUCAUUAACUCUCAAAAGAUUCAACUCCUGACCCCAACCUUCAAGUAAAAUAGUAUAAGACUUAAUAUCAGGCUCAAACCUUUUCUUUUUCAUUUUAUCGAACACCUUCUGUGCAUCUCCAACAUUUCUAGAUUUGCUCAAAAUAUCAAGCAUACGAUUGAAAUCACUUGAUUCCAUCUUAAACCCAUAAUCUUCCAUCUUAUGAAACGCAGUUAUAGCUUCUUUAACCUUCCUAGCUCUAGCGUAACGUCUAGAAAUGAGAGCAAACGUGUCUUUGCUCAAAAGCUUCUUUUGUUUCAUGUCGUCUACAAGAUUCCAAAUGAGUUUGAAUUGCUUGAUCUUACCUAAUGAUUCAAUCAAUGCGUUGUAGUUUGAAGUAGUGUGCUUGAAACCCUUUUGAUUCUCUGCCCAUUUGAAUACAGAUAAAGCUAAAACCCCAGCGUUGCUUAGCUUCUUCAGUACUUCUUCGAUUAGUGCCGGCGAGAGUUUAACAGAAGCUUCGUUGAGCAAAGUUUCAACCUUUGAAUCCGUGAAUUUGGACAGAAUUUUGCAGAUUUUAUCAGCGUCUUGUGAAACAUCAUUAGCAGAAACUUGGGUUUCAACAGAAGAAGCGUGAAAUGAUCCAUAAACUGUAAAAUUUGAAGCUUUAUGAAUCCAUGGAAUCGAUUCGAGACUCAAGCUUGAGGACGAAGAAGAAGAGAUUCUUAAGUAGACACGGCGAGAGAGAUUCACUCCGGCGGAGCUGAAGAAUCGAGAGAAGACCAUUGGAGGAGAAAGUUUAGAUUUUUACUUUCAAUAAACUAAGGGAUAAUCGCAUUUGGUCGAGUACCGUUAUAAAGAUUACAACAGAGGAACAAAAAAGUUCAUCGAAUUUGCGAACAAAAAGUUCUCAAGUGGCUUUAACAAAGGAAUUACAAAAUCUAGGAAAGAUAAAAAAAAUCUCUCCUUUCUAUUCUCUGCUCCUUCUCCUCGUAUAAAUACAUCAGCCACUGUGUUGUUGUUGUUGUUGUUGCUCAAAGAAUUAACCUUACAGAGACUGAAAACAAUGUAUUCUCGUGUCGUGUGUCGUAUAAUCACUUGCAUUGAUUCGAUUGUGAAUUCAAAUCAUCAAGAAAAUUCGUUAUUGUUUCGUCUAGCUUCUUAGCUUGAGGUCCAGCUUUGACAAUGUUGACUUCAUCCCAUUCCGAGCAAGGAUCUGUCCACCAGCUACUGUGGCUCGAGCACCAAGCGCCAGGAGUGACACGGUAACGCCCACGUUUCAGGAUCUCUCUAUCGACCAUGUCGAGUACUGGAUCGUCUUUCUUGAACUGUCUGGCGAAAGCUGCUCCGCUUUGAGCCAUUUGUUCGAAAUCUGAUACAGUAAGGAAGUGUGGUUCCAUCUUUGGUGGACUGUCCCAUAUCAUGUAUCGUAAGUCCCCGUUGACUGUCGUGUUACUGAACUCGGGUGCGUUGCAUAUCACUGUGUGGAAAUAGCAUUCUUCAGAGAGAAUGACAUUGUUAAAAUACAUCAGAAGGACUCUCGGUAAAUUGUCCCAACCGAAGAUGCAGUAUUCUAGGAAAGAUCUACUCAGUACAAUCCAAGGCGAGCCUGCAGUAAUAUCACAAACCAGAACCACACGCCAAUUUGGUUAGAAUGAAACUGUAUACAUAUUAGGAAUGUAACCACAAAAAGUGUUAUUAGCUACUGAAUCUUUUGCCUGUAAAGACUUUGAACGCAUCUGGUGUUGGUCGUUUCUCGGUAGCAGUGAAUAGCUGAGUUCUUCUAGCUAAGUAAAGUGCUGGAUCAACAACAAUAGGCUUGAUUCUCUGAGCUCUACAGAAAAAUCCAUUAUCAUAAUAAUCCCAAUCACAAGUACAUUUAAUAAAAAAACAUUGCAAGAAGACUGGCAAAAGUUCUUUACUUACUCUUUCCAAGCAAGGUCACUAGUGUGAUCAAUAAAAUUGAGGCUUCUAUUCACUGAGGCAAACACAUGAGAUAGGUCUGAGAGAAAUCAUGAGAGAUGAAAAUUUAUUAGAAUCCAGGUCAGAUGAAGACAAACACAGAAGCUGUUGAGUAAUAAAGUUCUAAAGCAACAAUAUUUGCCAUAAAGAGAUCAGUGUCAUCAUCAAUGAAAGUGAUUACAUUUCUACUUUAUUUCCAAAAUAAGAGUAGAUUGAUUCUAGAGUAUAUCAUGAACACUGCAAUCUCAAGAAGCUAACAAGCUCAAAAACAAAGAUCUAGAGUGCAAAUGAAUCACAAUCACAAAGCAAGCCUAAAGCUAGUUUCUUGUAUAGUUUCAGAUUAAAAUAGAAAGAAUUAAAAUUUAAACAUACCAUCUUGAGUAAUGAGAGGAUAAUCCAAAGCACUAAGCUCAAUAAACCAAUUCCAAGUACGAUCAAGCUUAAGAAGAAUAGAAACAGCGUGAAGAGUAGAAGCAAUCUUAGAAGCACCAUUCUCAGACAAACGAUCAACUUUCCCUAAAACAUCAACAUUCCCAAAAGCAUUCACAGCAGGAACAGAUUUCAAAUCCGAGAGAAGAGCAAGCCUCUCAGCAUCAGUAGCUUCAGCACCUAGAUGGAGAAGAUACCGAUUCCUAGGAUGAUAAACCGCGAGCAAUAACCGAAAGAUCCGGUCAUUAUCUCCACGACCACCGGUUAUGUAAUAAGCGAAAGCUGGUGGGUAAUGAGCACCGUGACGGAUUGAAGAAGGGAAUGGUUUAGAGGUAAAAGCAGAGAUUGAGUAAAGUAAGAGAAGGAACACUGAGAGAAAUACUACAGAGAAGAGUGUGAAAAGCCAUUUCUUUUCAGCUCCCAUUGUUCUUCACUUCUUUCUUCUUUCACCUUUGAUUUGUUAGAAUCUGGCUCCGAUUGAGCAUAUAUGUGGAUUCACAGAUUCAAAUCUGUGGUUUUAGAGCUCAUAUAUGGAUCUUUGAAAUAUGGAGGAAGAUGAGAUCUCGGUGUGAGUGAGAUCGAGCAUAGAUUGGGAUCAGAGCCCGAGGAGAUCUCAAGAAGAAGCCAAUGAUAAUUGAAGCAGAGAAAAAUGGAGAGUGGGAGAGAGAGAGUGAGAAAUAAAGAUUAGGGUUUGAGA